GAAAUAUCUAUUUAUAAAAUAAAUAAGUAUAGUAAAUAACUACAGAACUAUAUUAGCAUGCUUCCUGAAUCCUGCUUUGAGAUGGAGAGACCAUAACUUCCUUCACUUCUGCGAUGAAGAGAGGAACAACCUUACCCUGUCCUUCUGUCCUCAGGUACCCCAACCAGGUGCUAACGUCAGGCCGUGGUUCUGGUCUCAAUGAUCUGGCCGCAGAAAGACCAUCUCCCCACACACAGUUAAGCUGGGGAAGGGGCAGGAACAGAAAUUGCUUAUACCCACUAGACUGUGGUUGGACCAUCUCUGUAUCACUUCUUCCCUGCAGAGGAGGCACAGCCCUUCUUCAGAUGUUCACAAUAAAGAGAGAUCCAGGGACACUGGCCAUGACGAGGAUGGGAUCAACGUGUGGACAUUCUCAUAUGCAAUACUUGGUUAUAUCACUGUGCAAGAGAACAUGGAUCGGGGUGUCAAAAUUAAGUCAGUUCCAUAUUUGGAACCCAUAUUAACAAAAAUUGAAUACUAUUUAUUGAAUAACUUUUCAUAAAUGUUAUUCUUAGUAAUAUUAAUGCUAUUUAUUAAAUAAUAUUGAAUGAAUAUCAUGUAUUAAAUAAUGCUUAUUUA
rnacentral:lncRNA from 1 species